rnacentral:rRNA from 1 species
GAGUUUGAUCAUGGCUCAGGAUGAACGCUGGCGGCGUGCCUAACACAUGCAAGUCGAACGGAGAGCAUAAACGGAAGUUUUCGGAUGGAAGCUUAUGUUCUUAGUGGCGGACGGGUGAGUAACGCGUGGGCAACCUGCCUCAUACAGGGGGAUAACAGACGGAAACGUCUGCUAAGACCGCAUAAGUCGGAACUACCGCAUGGUAGAUUCGGGAAAAGAGCAAUCUGGUAUGAGAUGGGCCUGCGUCCGAUUAGCUAGUUGGCGAGGUAAUAGCUCACCAAGGCGACGAUCGGUAGCCGGACUGAGAGGUCGGACGGCCACAUUGGGACUGAGACACGGCCCAAACUCCUACGGGAGGCAGCAGUGGGGGAUAUUGCACAAUGGAGGAAACUCUGAUGCAGCGACGCCGCGUGAGUGAAGAAGUAUUUCGGUAUGUAAAGCUCUAUCAGCAGGGAAGAUGAUGACGUACCUGACUAAGAGCCCC